rnacentral:snRNA from 1 species
AUACCUUCCUCGACCUUUUGGCUAAGAUCAAGUGUAGUAUCUAUUCUUAUCAGUUUAAGCUCUGCUUGGAUCUAGUACACUAGAUAUCGUUUUUGCGACAUUAU